rnacentral:lncRNA from 1 species
GGGGGAUGGUGGAAGAUUUUUGGUCUCCUCAGCAGCGGCUUUUCUUGCGGCGGCGGCGGCGGCGGCGGCAGCGGCAGCAAGAGAAGGAAAGGCAGCCCUAGCUAUGACUGCCGCAUGUUAAUAGCUCCCGCUUGGGUCCGCGGGCUGCAGCCAGAGACACAGCCUGACUCCGAAGUUGUGCAACUGUGCCCUGGGAGAGACAUUUGAACCCUCCUUCUCUUUGCUCCGCUUUUGCCCCCUGGGGCGUGUGAAGCGAGGAAACCUAAAGGAAGACUAACGUUUGGCUUUCCCGGCUUCCCCUUUCUCCAUGGCUGUGUAGAAGAAGAAAGGAAAGAGACACUUUUUGUUGUUUCUUUGACUGGGGUCUCCACCCUCCUGCCGUCUCUGCGUUUUGAUUAUAAUUCUUUGCUUGGUGUAGCUGGGGUGUCUACACUGGGGCCGGUCCAGCCUUUUUUUUUUUUUUUCCUUUCUUUUUCUUUCUUUCUUUUUUCUUUUUUUGCCCCGGGGCUCAAUGGAUGGAUUGUGGAGAACUGCACUGGGUUGCAGGUUGUUGAGCAACUGAUGGGACCAUCUCAGGGACCGGCGGUUACGAAAGUAUGAAUAGCACAUUCAUUAUCUCUGCUCCCUGACCAUCUCAAGCCUCAUGGGUGCUUAUGCAGUCUUCUCACUGGGGGUAAGUAACUGGUGUUGUCUCUCUGGUGGUGAACAUGAUACUCAUUUACUGGGGAAAAAAAAGUCAGGAAAAUCUUUGCACCAACGAUUUAAUUCCAAGAGGGACUAUUGUCUCAUUUCCAAAUAGUGCAGGGAAUAUUUGGUGCUGUAGGUUCCCCAUGGGUAUUCAUUAAGGCUUCCUGGCUAGGCUACAGGCUUGAGAACCGAAAGAAUGGAGAACAGACUAGUUUUUAAUGGCAGAACAGUGUUUAUAUGAUCAACUCACUCAUAUUGUGUGCCUUUAGAUUGAAAAAUAUACACACCUUCCCAAUCAAUACCACUUGCCUUACAGAUUGCUUGGUUUAUUACAGAAUGGUUUUGUCAUUUAUAAUUAACAUGAGAUUGAAAUUUUGCCUUAAAUUAAUGAACCCUUAUGUCUGUUAGAGUUGAACAAGUUAGUCUCCAAGGACUUUUGUAGCUCUAGAUCGCUAUGAUUCUGUGACUGAAUACUUUUUGAAAAUGAAGCUUCUUACUAUGUUUUAAGCUAGUAUAAUUCAUAAUUCAGUAUAGCAUAAACCAUUAAGAAAUAUUAUCAAUAUUAGCAGUUCAAAAAGGAAAGUUUUUUUUGCCUUCAGCCCUUCCUAUUUCAACCACAGUCCAACCCCAUGGUACCUUCCCCAGCUGCAGGCAAUCACUUCCAUUCAGAAUCUUUGCAUGAAGUCCCAGUGGUGGAAAUGCUGACUGCAUCAACUUUCACUAUCAUUUCUAGAGGAGGGCCAGUCUGGCCUUUGAUAUUGGUGUCAUUAGAAUCUUACAUUUCGAAGCCUCAAGUAUGUACCUUAAUAUUUAGGUAGCUACUAUGCUCCUGUCUCUAGACCCAAAGGCUGUAUCUUAGAAAACAGAAACACAGUUUUUCUAUGAAAUAUUCUGUUUAUUUAAUGGUAUUUGUCAAUAUUUUAAAAUUUGAUUGAGAGAGGUAGAGGAAAAGAGAAGCAAAAAUUGAGAAAGGGAAAGGAGAGAGGGACAGAGUGUGAGAAAGAGAGAGGGCUGAGGUUCAGGAGGAGUCAGUCUACUGAUCUUUUUGCUUUGAAGGAUAUUCAGUUGACUAUUUCACUGGUAUAGGUCCCACCCCUUGGGGAUUUCCACUUACUCCAAUCUGCCCAGUUGUACAAGUGUAAACUUGCCAGGAAACUAUAAUUAUUCUUGGAAUUUGACAAAAGUCUCUUAGUAGUGCCACUACCAUGCUUUUUUCUUUUCUUUAUUUUUAUUUUUUUUAUUUUUUUUUGUUUUUCGAGACAGGUUUCUCUGUGGCUUUGGAAGCUGUCCUGGAACUAACUCUUGCAGACCAGGCUGGCCUCAAACUCACAGAGAUCCUCCUGCCUCUGCCUCCCAAGUUCUGGGAUUAAAGGCAUGCACCACCACUGCCAGGCACUACCAUGCUUUUUAAGCUCAUGAACUAAUAGUUUUCUCCUGAGUAAACAUCAGGUUGACAAGCAUACAAAAUUAAUUUGGUCUCUUUCUUGGUCAUCUGCACACCUACCACUCCUCACCUUGUAGAAUUUUGCUGUGACGCUCUGUCUGGUCUGAAAUUCAUUGUUCUAUUGCUUCAGCCUCUUGAGUGAUGGGAUUUUAGCCAUGUACCCUCAUGUUCAACAGAUCUCUUCUGUUUUAAUGCAAGACUGUGAGUCUACCCACUCCAUCUCUCUCUCUCUCUCUCUCUCUCUCUCUCUCUCUCUCUCUCUCUCUCUCUGCUUCCCUCCCUUCCUUGCUUUUUUCUUAGCUUUGUUACUACUCUCGAC